GCGGAUGGCUGGACGGCUGCACGUUAGUGAGGAAAGUCCGGACUCCAAAAAGCAGAGGCGGCGGGUAACGCCCGCCCGGGGCAACCCGAGGGAAAGCGCCACAGAGAAAAGACUGCCCGUGCGUGCACGGGUAACGGUGAAACGGUGGGGUAAGAGCCCACCGCGGUGGUGGUAACAUCAUUGGCAUGGCAAGCCCCGCCUGGAGCAAAACCAAAUAGGGACCGCGUGGAUGGCAACAUCCGGGGCCGCUUUUGCCCUAGCAGGUCCGGGUUGGUUGCAAGAGCCUGUUGGUGACAGCAGGCCCAGAUGAAUGGUCGUCUAAGGGGGCAACCCCGGGACAAAAUCCGGCUUACAGGCCAUCCGCGAAA
rnacentral:RNase_P_RNA from 1 species